rnacentral:rRNA from 1 species
UACGAAGGGGGCUAGCGUUGCUCGGAAUCACUGGGCGUAAAGCGCACGUAGGCGGGUCUUUAAGUCAGGGGUGAAAUCCUGGAGCUCAACUCCAGAACUGCCUUUGAUACUGAGGAUCUUGAGUUCGGGAGAGGUGAGUGGAACUGCGAGUGUAGAGGUGAAAUUCGUAGAUAUUCGCAAGAACACCAGUGGCGAAGGCGGCUCACUGGCCCGAUACUGACGCUGAGGCACGAAAGCGUGGGGAGCAAACAGG